GGGCAUAUGGUCUAGUGGUAUGAUUUCUGUUUUGCAAUGACUUGUCAUUCAUGUGGCAUGCUCUGCAGCUACAGACGGUCCCGCGUUCAAUCCGCGGUAUGUCCA